rnacentral:rRNA from 1 species
GACGAACGCUGGCGGCGUGCUUAACACAUGCAAGUCGAACGGCAGCGCGGGCUCCGGCCUGGCGGCGAGUGGCGGACGGGUGAGUAAUGCAUCGGAACGUGCCCAGGAGUGGGGGGAUAACGUAGCGAAAGUUACGCUAAUACCGCAUACGUACUGAGGUAGAAAGCGGGGGAUCGAAAGACCUCGCGCUCAUGGAGCGGCCGAUGUCGGAUUAGCUAGUUGGUGAGGUAAAAGCUCACCAAGGCGACGAUCCGUAGCUGGUCUGAGAGGACGACCAGCCACACUGGGACUGAGACACGGCCCAGACUCCUACGGGAGUCAGCAGUGGGGAAUCUUGGACAAUGGGGGAAACCCUGAUCCAGCAAUGCCGCGUGUGGGAUGAAGGCCCUCGGGUUGUAAACCACUUUUGGCAGGAAAGAAAUCGCCUGUGCUAAUACCAUGGGCGGAUGACGGUACCUGCAGAAUAAGCACCGGCUAACUACGUGCCAGCCGCCGCUGUAA